rnacentral:misc_RNA from 1 species
UCCGAGUUGACCCCGGCAGUCUCCUACGAGUCCCCGGCAUAACCCGCUGGCAACAUAGGACAAGGGUUGCGCUCGUUGCGGGACUUAACCCAACAUCUCACGACACGAGCUGACGACGGCCAUGCAGCACCUGUGCUGGCCCCUUACGGACACGGGCUUUCACCCGCUUUAACCGGCAUGUCAAACCCAGGUAAGGUUCUUCGCGUUGCAUCGAAUUAAGCCGCAUGCUCCGCCGCUUGUGCGGGCCCCCGUCAAUUCCUUUGAGUUUUAGCCUUGCGGCCGUACUCCCCAGGCGGGGUGCUUAAUGCGUUAGCUUCGGCACGGACGGAGUUGACACCGCCCACACCUAGCACCCAUCGUUUACGGCGUGGACUAC